rnacentral:tRNA from 1 species
GCCGGCGAGCUUCCGGAACGGAGUGGAACGGUCUCCAAAACCGAUUCCCGGGGGUUCGACUCCCUCCGUCGGUGC